rnacentral:rRNA from 1 species
AUGGGCUGGUCGGUGGAGAAGGGAGGCCGGCAGGGCGCCGGGCCUUGGCGAGGCAAGGAGGCCCACGCGCGGAUCUGGCCCAAUCGGGCGACAUGCACGGUCAACGGGGAUCGAGCGGGUCCAGGCACGGGCAAAACUCCUCGUCGCGGUCACCGUCCUCGUGUGCGUGUUGUGGGACUUGGCGUGCGGGUGCAGCGACCUGAAGAAGGCGGCGCCGAUGGCAGGGAACAGCUGGGAACAGGGGUCUCCGGCCUGGAUCUGGUUCGUGGCGGCUUGGGGAGGCGGACAAACUCCAGGACGGGUGCGCGGUGGCCGAGGCAGUCCAUGGAGGCGCGACGGGGUUGA